AGUGGUUAAGAACUUGGCUGCUAACCAAAAAGUCAGUGGUUCAAAUCCACUAGCCACUC
rfam:Loxodonta africana unplaced genomic scaffold scaffold_29, whole genome shotgun sequence.